rnacentral:rRNA from 1 species
UACGAAGGGUGCAAGCGUUAUUCGGAAUGAUUGGGCGUAAAGGGUGCGCAGACGGUAUAUUAAGUCAACUGUUAAAUUUCCCAGCCUAACUGGGAGCAAGCAGUAGAAACUAAUGUGCUCGAGGGUGGAAGAGAGAAGUGGAAUUCUCGGAGUAGCGGUAAAAUGCGUAGAUCUCGAGAGGAACACCAAUGGCGAAGGCAGCUUCUUGGUCCAUUUCUGACGUUCAAGCACGAAAGCGUGGGGAGCAAACAGG